rnacentral:rRNA from 1 species
UACGAAGGGGGCGAGCGUUGUUCGGAUUUACUGGGCGUAAAGGGCGCGCAGGCGGCUCAUUUUGUCAGGCGUGAAAGCCCCGGGCUUAACCUGGGAACUGCGUUUGAUACGGAUGGGCUAGAGUUCGGGAGAGGAGAGUGGAAUUCCCGGUGUAGCGGUGAAAUGCGCAGAUAUCGGGAAGAACACCCGUGGCGGAAGGCGGGCGCUCUGGAGCGGUACUGGACGCUGAGACGGCGAAAGCGUGGGGAGCGAACAGG